GUUCUUGUGAAAGACACUCUGUCCCCGAACCUGAGCGGCGUGUGACGGACAACAGAUGGGCGCCGAUACUGCCCGUGACGCGAAGUUGCUGUGAUCCACAAAGAAAUAACACAGUGCUCCCUGCAGAAACCGACUGCCACGUGUGAGGAUGGGGCAUGUGUGCGGCUUAGACCAUGGGGAAGACGUCACACGCCGUCCAGAAGAUGAAGCUUCCAGAGACGCUGUAAUGGAGAAGCACCCAGGGGAUCCUUUGGGGUCGAAUCCUGGCCCACCUCCGCCAUGCAGAUACCCUGGAAUCACACACUCAGCUCUCCUUUAAUCCUUUAAUCUGAGACAUUUAUUCUGAGUAAAUGUCUUGGUGUUUUGUUUUUCGGCAACAGUUAAUGACUCCUAGAGCUUCUCCAUUAGA